GAGCCGGUCCACGCUGACCCCAGGGAGAGCGGCGCCAGGCCGGAGUCUCCUUCUUCGGGGAGCCAGGUACCGGGAGUCAUCCCUCGGCCAUGGAUGGAACAUCCCCCCACCCCACCGGGGGGCAGUACUCAGGCUGGAGAGGGGGAGAGAGGGAAGCAUCCCCCUCUGUCCGGGAGGGCGGCGAGGGACGUGUUAGUUCUGUUUCUGAAAGAUGAUGCAGGAUGCCAGAGCCGAACGCAGAUCGCCGCGGUGAUUCGUUCACUCCAUACAAUCAUAGAAUGGUUUGAGUUGGAAGGCACCUUAAAGAUCAUCCAGUUCCAACUCCCUUGCCAUGGGCAGGGAACCUUCCACUGGACCAGGUUGCUCAGUGCCCCAUCCCAGAUAUAUUCACUGCUCAGGUGAAGUGAGAAGAGCGUUAUCUCACGCACUUGCUUAUCUCCUGUCUGUACUAGGAAGACUUUUAAGGAUAGCGGCAUUUCAAAAAGAUAAGUCAGAAAGAAAAUGUAAAAAGAAUGGAAACUCUACAAGAGUCACAGCAACAAAGAGGAAUGUUCAGUUUGUGUCCUCUGAGGAUACUCCUAUGGAAGAACGUGAAAAUGUACUUCAAGAACGACAGAAAAAAAUGGGACAGAAAAUGAAAGAGAAUAAGUGAUCCUUGUGGCUAAAUCUCCUUCGGAAAGAAGAGUGUCGUGCUUCCUGAACAUUCAGAUCUAAGAGAGGAGAGUGAAAUGCCGGAUUGCCAAAGUGAUGGAAGUUCUGAAAACAGAGGUUCAAAUGACAGUACUUGAACCCAUCUCAUGGAACAGGAGAAAAGGAAAAACCUCAGGAUAGAUGAGAUGAAAAAGCAUCUUUUCCUUCAACUCUGACUGUGAUACCUUUGGAAGGGAGAACACUUUACGGAAAAGGAUAAUGUCGUAGAUACUCCACUUCACAUGGAUAACUGCAUCAUCUGUUUGGAAAGAGCAUAAGGAAAGAUGACUUAAUAGUCCAGAAAGCAGAAAACCUGCUGGGUAUGUGGGUGUGUGAGUUUCAGAUCCAUGGACUGAAAUACACAAAGCAAGAACGUCAUGGUUGGAUUCUUACUCCCACGUACCUGCCUGAAACUCUUUUAAGGGGAGAUUUCAGGAUAGGACUCUGGAUCCCACUGGAUGAAUAAAAACCACAAAGCAAAUCACAGGGUCCACAGGUUUUCUCGCUUUUCCAAUUCACUACCCCAUCUCACUACAGUGGGAGUGAGAGUUGCUGGCUGGGGUUAAACCAUGACAAUCCUCUUGGUGCCCAACAUGGGGUUUGAAGGUUUUGAGAUUAUCCUAUCUCUGAAGAAUAUCUAGAUCUUCUGGUAUUGUCACAUGCAGACAGUGAGUAAACCAGACUUCUUUGCCUCACUUUACCAAAAGACAUUUUAAUCAAUUUAUGUAUGAACAUACCUUGAGGAUGGCAUGAAAAACAACACAUUACUGGAACGAAAUAAAGACUUAUGAACUGCCUAAAAUAAAUAAUAUAUAGGGUAAAAAAAUAAAGAGAUUUUGACAAAGAGAAGAGGUGGAGGAUGAUCCUGGAAGUCUUUGCACAAAGAGACCCCUCUAUCCAACCUAGCUGGCAAAAAAAAAAGAGAAGCACUUGAGAUAUCCAGUUCAAAGCUAUCUAAUCCACCAUGCUUGAAGUUCCUUUUUCUCUAAAAGCAUUCUAAGAGUGUGGUUUGGUUACCUACAUUCACCAAGCAUGGUAUGAGCAUUGUCCUCUGCAGUGACAACAUUGAGCUGUUUCUGCCUGGUUGCUUUUUGUUUUGUAUAGAGAUACUCUCAAGCAUUCAGGUAUGUAUGUAUAAAUUAUACCUUGCUUACUCCAUCCCAUGCCGUACAGGUGGAACAGGUUUCUCCUCCUGCAGAGCUCCCGUCCAUGUCCUUCUGAAGCCAUUCAGUUAGUUCCUUCAUGCCAAUAGCAUACCUGUUUUCCUUUGGUUCUGCCUUCUCUCCCAGGAUUUCUGCCAGGCCAGCAUGCUCCUCCAAUGGUUUCUCUUCCCUCUGGCAGCUAAGAUGGCAUCCCAGCAGUCUUGCCCUCAAGGAAUGAACUGCCAGAAUGGGCUCUGGCUCCAGCUCAGCAUAUGGAGGCUCAUUUCAACCCUGCCUCCUCAGGCUCAGACCAGUAAGUCCCCGAAUUUCCGUGAAGAAGAACAGCUCCUGUUGGCUUCCAUGUUGUGGCUCUGGCUCUGGCCCAUGACUUCACAGUCCUUCCUCCUAGCCCAGCAUCAGCCAACACUCAGUAUUCUGCCCAUCAGCAGGACUCAGGAGCAUCACCUAUCUGAGAUCACUGCAGACUACUGCACACUUUUUGAGGUUUAGACUUCCCAGAUGCUUUACACAGCAAAGUAAGUAAAGUUUUGAAAACAAAACCAUUUUAUGCUGCCCUUUUGUGCAAUAAAAUAAAAUGUACCUCUCCCUGCUAAGUUAGUGUAUUGGACUGUACUCCCAGGGGCAGAAGAACAGCUACGCAGCAUUUGCACGUUUCAUAAACAAAGAAAAACCAGGCUUUUUUCCCCCACAAUUUAACUUUUGCAAGGAAAAAAAAAUAAAAAGAAAUUCAAAGCUCAAAUUAUAUGCGUUUGAGACAUGGUGUAUGGUAGGAAACUGUAGAACAUUCAUGUUUCAAAUCUUCCUAUUUUAUCUCCCCCUCAAAAAAUAAGGUCUCAUUUUUCAGAAAAAUCCAAACAAGUUUAAAACUUGUACUGGGGAUUUUUGGGACUUUCUCUUCAAAGAACUCUUAAAAGUCUACUGCAGUGGCUUGGGAGUGCAUAUAGUGGGUUUACUUUAAAACUACAAACUCUGGAAGCAUUUGGAUUCUUGUCAGCUCUAUGGUGAUUCUGCAGGAAAACUGGGAGGGCUUCAGCCCUUACUUGACUAUGGAUCAGUGAAUGCUUGAUGACUGAGAUCUUGCUAUAAAAGAUAAUUUUUUUAUAAAAUUUAAUCUUUAAUUAAGAAACUCAUUCAGCAAAAUGUAUGCAAACAGUUCUGAUGUUAAAUCAACAAGUCAUUUUUUAAAAUUGUUAUUGGAUGAAGACGAUGGAGCUUUCCCCCCAUGUGCCUUGACUUGAUACCUAACUCAAGGCUUUGGUUUUUUUCAUUGGGGUUUUUUAAUUUUUUCCCAGAUUACCAUAAGCAGUGUUUCACUGCUUAGGUCCAGAUGGAACUACCUUUCGUGGAUUACAGAGCAUAUGAACAGUAGGAUUAUUUUAUUGCUGGACUGGGGACAUCCACUGAUUCUGUCCUUAAUACACCCUUUUAUUAUGAACAAUUACGUAUGUCUCUGGAAACUGUAUGAUUCCACACGGGAUACAAUGACUGGGCUUAAUGAGGUGCUUUAUGAACACAAUUCAAAAUUAACUUUGAAUUUCCUGGCUUUUGUUGAUUUUUGUCACAACUUUAACAUUUUUCAAACAUAAAAUCAUUACAUUAAAAGAAUAAAUCUCUAUUUUAGCUAAGAUUUAUUAUACCCCAGUGAGAUAAACCUUGUUUUCAGUUUUCAGUAAUAGCAUGAUUUAUUUCCAAGCAGUUGAGAGCUAAAAAAAAAAAAGAGAGAGAUAGAUCUGAAUGAAAAAUAAUACUUCCUAACAAAAAAAGUACAUUUUUACAGGACCUUUAAAGAACUCUCAAUCAGCCCCAAGAGUGAAUAUAUCAAGUCUCUCACUCUGACAGGUUUGUGAUAUACUUCACUUAUUCUUAAGUACAAUUUAAUAUGUAAGCAUUGAUCUGAAUUACUAUUUUUAAAGUUUUCUGGAAGAUUGAGGAUUUGACAUUUCCUCAUGUAUUCAGCUGCUGAGCAGACUCGGAAUCACUGAUGCUAAGUGGUCAGCUACCAUAAACUCCUUAGAGGGGAUUACUAUUAUAUAACUUACUAUUUUGCCAUUUGUAGUCUUUGUACAAAACUACUGAGACAGCAAGUGUUUGGCAAGGCAUGUGUAGUAACCUGAACACCACUUGUAGGGCUUUCUCACAGAGAUAGAUAGAUUUUUUUCUUUUUUUUUCUUUUCUUCUGUUUCAGCAUUCUCUUUCCACUAGGUCCCAAGUGCUCUAUUUGAAUGUAAGUUGAGACAACUCAGAUCUGGGAGACUCCAUUCACUUGAAAGGAAGAAGGGUGUUCUCCAGCUGCUGACAAUAAGAGAGGGUAGAACAGACAAGGGCAAUAAUUGGAACAUGUUUGUUCCCCAAUACAUCUGGACAAAGCAGGUAUAAAUACAUAAAUCCACUCACAGCAGAGUCCCAGUUUGCAGCUGGUGGCACCUCUGAGCCUUUUGAAUAGCAAAUGUUUUUCUCUUGCUUGUAUUUCUCUGUUCCACAUUUCAUCCUCAGGGGCAAGCCUGGCUUAAGUCAUUUUUAUCCACCUGGAAAGAGCCUGUAAUUUAUCCCUUUAUUAAUUAACUGCUUUAAGGCUUGUCCCACUCUCACCCCAUUGGUGAGGGUCUGUAUCUCCCAUGGAGGCCACCAAUUCACCUUUCCUAUUUGGAAAUAUUUGCUCUGUCUUCACUGAUUGCCAUACUGUGCUUUCUUGCCCUGCUUGCUGACGCCCUUGCUCCUCUCAGUACACAUGCCAAGACACAGAGGAUUGAGAUGAGAAUCUUGCUUUCCCCUUGCUUUCUUCAGUCCAAAGUUUGAUGUCCAGUGUUGCGGAUCAGUAGCAGGGAAGUUUUCCCCCACCUGUAUUCUAUUUCUCCUUUUAGGGAAAAAAUGUUCUCUUAGGGGCUUGUUUGGACUGUUCUAGUCCAACAAUUCUUAUUUUGGCACUGAAUAUGUUAUUCUUUCAGGGAUCCCAUCUUUUCAGAUCAUGACCUCAAAUUUGUUGACUACUUUUCUAAUGUAUUGCCAAUGAGAUCACCUUUUCAGACUGUCAUACCCAUUGCCUUUGUACUGGUACCCAUUCCUAAGAUGAUAGGACUCUAUGGACUAAGAUCAUCUUCCACAGUAAAGCUCUGAACUUUCUGAAUUCCCUCACCAGUUUUUUUAUGAUUCAAACAGUGCUAUAGGUGGUCUUAAUGGCUCAGUACCCUCUCAGCCACAGCAGAUAAUAGGAUGACAAUGAAACGGAUUGAGGACAACAAAUACUGGCCCAAAAAUUUCUCUAUAUGUUAGUAACUUGCCCAGUAAUUUUUCAUGUACUGUAAAUGAGAUCAUGUAUCCACACAUGAUAGGAUACCUGAGAUGCAAGAUAGCUACUUGCCCAGACCCAGUAAAGUGCAAGAGAGUCUAUUUAAACUUCUGUGCAGGAUAAAACUCUGAGUCAUCCCCUUAAGUGUCUGAGCUUAUUACCAAAGGAAGAGCAGACCUAACAGACUUCUAAUGUAGUGGGUGAUCUGACCACCAAAGGAAGUCUCCUACUCUGAGUUGUCCUUGGAAGCCUACCUCUUCAGUGACUUUGAAGACAGUCUGACAAUAUGAGCUUAGUAAACCAAAAUUAGCUUCUGUGAAAAUCCCUGGGGUCUAUUCAGCCAUUUCCAGCAGUUCUAGCAAACUAUAAAGAUUUACAUUAUUUAAAUAUAGAUCGCAAUUAUCUAUUGGAAAAAUUAUCUAUAAAGAAACCACAGUAGAGUUUUAAUGAACUGAAAAAUCCAUUCAUGUGUUUUCAAAGAAAUUUUUCUGGGAUAAUUAGAUACUUUCUUAAAUCAGUCUGAGAGUCAGACAAAUUACUGGCAAACCAAUGCAUAAGAGAUGACUAAUUCUCAUAUACUAGUGUCACCUAGGCACUACUAUGAAUAAUGCAUUCCAAAGCAUAAAAUAGAAAGUACCUGAAUUAAACCCCAUGUCUGACAGUAUCUGAAGGGAAAGAGGAGUGAAUGAGGAAGGGAAAUGAAUAUGAAUAGUCACUGAGACUUCUCAAUCGACAGAGAGAUUGAAUCUGUUUGUCCAUUUCAUGGAACUAUUCAGGCUGCAAACCAGGUAGAAUAAAAGCAAAUGAAGGACAAAGAAAAACAGCACAAGAAAGAAGAUCAUGUAUUUAUUUUUUUUAUUCUCUUUUGAGGGUAAAUUCCAACUGCCAACUUCCUCUAUGUAGCAUGGUGGCAGAUGAAUAUACUUUUUUAUUUUCACUAUGCAAAGGUCAUCUUCACCUGAAAAACAGGAACAGAAUGUGCGUUAGCAGCAUCUUGCACAGCCACUAGACAAUCACAAUUAAUUUUCUCAGACAGUGUUACAAAUUCAGACAGCAGCAACAAAAAUCUUGCUAAAAGAGGCAUCUUUUGUUCUUCUCUCUUCUUCCCCACCUCACUCCCAAAGACACAGACCUGAUAUUUAUUUUGUACUGACCCUAACAUGUACCAUUUCCCUCUGUGAGCCACUUCCACAUGCUAAAGCUGCAGAAAGCAAAACUAGACAGUAUGAUUUUGUGCCCUGUUAAUGAAUAAAAGUGAUCUUCCAAGGACAUGGCAGGACCUGACAGAAACCAGAGCUGGUCAAAGGGAGGGGGCAGGGCUGCAAAGCUGAGGAGAAGGGAGAAAGGGAUGGGAUAGAUUUCUAUUGGGGAAUGAUAAAUAGGCAAGCAAGAAUGGAGUUGUGAAACACAAGACCUAGAAAUUGCCUCACCUCAGCACAGGACUGAAGUGGUACUGGAUCUUGUCACCUUUCAGGAAGGUAAAAUCUUGUAUCCAAAGCAAACUGCACACUCUCAUCAAAAAGACUGACUGGGAUAGAAAGUUGCUGCCUAUGCUUACCAGGCAGAACCAGGAACAGAGAAGAAAUCACUCCCAUUUUGCUCAGUCUGAGCUGUAUGCACAACUACCUGGCAAUGACAUGGAUGCAUGUCUGUAUUCU